rnacentral:rRNA from 1 species
UUGUUAGUUGCCAUCAUUCAGUUGGGCGACUCUAGCGAGACUGCCGGUAAUAAACCGGAGGAAGGUGGGGAUGACGUCAAAUCAUCAUGCCCCUUAUGACCUGGGCUACACACGUGCUACAAUGGUUGGUACAACGAGUUGCGAGUCGGUGACGGCGAGCUAAUCUCUUAAAGACCAAUCUCAGUUCGGAUUGUAGGCUGCAACUCGCCUACAUGAAGUCGGAAUCGCUAGUAAUCGCGGAUCAGCACGCCGCGGUGAAUACGUUCCCGGGCCUU